GAGUGGCGGACGGGUGAGUAACACGUGGGUAACCUGCCCAGAAGCAGGGGAUAACACCUGGAAACAGAUGCUAAUACCGUAUAACAGAGAAAACCGCCUGGUUUUCUUUUAAAAGAUGGCUCUGCUAUCACUUCUGGAUGGACCCGCGGCGCAUUAGCUAGUUGGUGAGGUAACGGCUCACCAAGGCGAUGAUGCGUAGCCGACCUGAGAGGGUAAUCGGCCACAUUGGGACUGAGACACGGCCCAGACUCCUACGGGAGGCAGCAGUAGGGAAUCUUCCACAAUGGACGCAAGUCUGAUGGAGCAACGCCGCGUGAGUGAAGAAGGGUUUCGGCUCGUAAAGCUCUGUUGUUAAAGAAGAACGUGGGUGAGAGUAACUGUUCACCCAGUGACGGUAUUUAACCAGAAAGCCACGGCUAACUACGUGCCAGCAGCCGCGGUAAUACGUAGGUGGCAAGCGUUAUC
rnacentral:rRNA from 1 species